GAUGAACGCUGGCGGCGUGCCUAAUACAUGCAAGUCGAGCGAACAGAUGAGGAUCUUGCUCCUCUGACGUUAGCGGCGGACGGGUGAGUAACACGUGGAUAACCUACCUAUAAGACUGGGAUAACUUCGGGAAACCGGAGCUAAUACCGGAUAAUAUAUUGAACCGCAUGGUUCAAUAGUGAAAGACGGUUUUGCUGUCACUUAUAGAUGGAUCCGCGCCGCAUUAGCUAGUUGGUAAGGUAACGGCUUACCAAGGCAACGAUGCGUAGCCGACCUGAGAGGGUGGUCGGCCACACUGGAACUGAGACACGGUCCAGACUCCUACGGGAGGCAGCAGUAGGGAAUCUUCCGCAAUGGGCGAAAGCCUGACGGAGCAACGCCGCGUGAGUGAUGAAGGUCUUCGGAUCGUAAAACUCUGUUAUUAGGGAAGAACAAAUGUGUAAGUAACUAUGCACGUCUUGACGGUACCUAAUCAGAAAGCCACGGCUAACUACGUG
rnacentral:rRNA from 1 species